rnacentral:lncRNA from 8 species
CAACGCAGUUUUAGGGCAACCCUAUUUACUGAAAUUUUGCUACGCCUCUCCUCUUUACAUUGAUGGCAGCCAAUCACAGUGCAGAUUUUAAAGCGGAAAUGACGCAAAACUUUGUUUUGACCAAUGUAAUUUGCUGAAAGAGGUCUGACUCCUUCAUGCGGAUUAAUACGCCUCCAAUGGGGAACAUGUAGCCCACGAAAAAUUUCUGUGUGUUCUAGUUUAUUAGCGUUCUGUCUUCGUAUUGGAAAGGCAAUAUGGACGGCGAUUUAUUCAUGGAGUGUGAGGAGGAGGAGCUGGAGCCAUGGCAACAGAUGUAUGACGACGUGGAGGAGGAGUUGGAAUUCAUAGAGGGCGACAACGACAACGUCUGUGAAGCCUCCUUUUUCUCCUCGACAUCCCGAGAGACUCCAAUUCCCAGCAUACCCUCCCUCACUCCCUCAGCUGCACAGCGUGUCCUGGCAAUGGUUUCCAACACAGUCCCGUCCUCCUCUGUCUUGCAGCGCCCCACUACAGCACCUCCUGUGUCGUCAUCGGUGUUACCUCAAUUUAUGGUCCCCACGGGAGUCCCUGGUAUGCCCUCUCUGGUGCCAUCUGGCAUGGUCCAGGGACAACAGCUGAUCCAGAUCCAAACCCCUACAGGUCUGAGCACCAUGCUACUGCCCACAGCUGUUAACCCUGGUGCCGGCCCGGCCAAUGCCCAGCAGAUCUACUUCACCCAGGUACGGGCUGCAUCACUGCUCACGGAUCUUCUCUGGCCUGCUUUGGUUCAGCUCAGCAAGGUGGAAUGCAUUUAAGAAUGUAUUUAACUUCAUCUCAUUACUAUAUCUCACAGGGUUUCCCGGUCCGAAACGUCAGGCCUGGGCAGAACCCUAUGGGGAUAGUUCUGAAUUUACAGCAAGGCCAGAUGAUUCGACCCAUCACCCUACUCUCUGGUAAUUUUAUAUCUUUAAUUUCAUCAUCUUUAUCCAAUGCUGUUUUCACAGAGCUACGAUAGACAUACAGGGGUCUCAAAAGUCUCCAGGAAGCAAGUUAUUGACAGCAGCCAUUUUGGACAACAUGGUGUAUAGUAACACCAUUUUGUUAACAGCCCCCUCUCUCCUAUGGUAGGACCUGGAGGGCAGUUCUUUGCUCCGUCUAUGGGGAUGCCUCAGGUUGUGACCCAGCCUGCACAGAUUAGGCCCACUGCUGGCCCCAGUGGUGUUUUACGGCAGGCGGCGCCCAGCACCUUUGCCACUAUGCAAAUCCCUGCCACCCUCACAAUCCGCGGGGCCAGUCACGCCCCCCUCACCACCACGGCUAGCACCAUGGGCACCCGGCCCACUCUACUCAACACUUCCUCACAGCCUCAGAUUUGUAAGUUCUUAUUUUAUGGGUGGGUCCAGAUUCAAAGAAGUACAGCUUUUGUAUCUAUAGUGAAAUCUGUUGAACAUCCCCUGCUUUCCUUUGUGCUAUAGUGAAAUGGAACCAAGUCCCAGUCGCUCUCCAAUCGCAGCUUCUGCAGAUCGUCAAGAGCAACAGCCAGGCCCAUGUACCCGUGGCCACGCCCCUGACACAGGGCAACACCAAAGGUACAGUAAUUACAUCCAUAUCAGAUCUAUUGCUCAUUAUCAUAUGCCCUCGCUGGUUCUAAGUGUGAAAAUGUCGCUGAACAGAACAUCGGGCAAAUGUUUCCCUGUUCUGUUUGUUUUACAGUUGAUCAGGAGGUGAAGAUAUGCCCCCGAUGUGGAGCCCAAUUCAAAAUGCAAGAAGCACUUCAAGGACAUAUGUGUGUAAGAAGCUUAAUCAUAUGCACCAUAGAACAUUCCAGAUAUUAAACCAUGAACAUUCACCACUAGUAAUGAUGAGCAUGAUGGCAAUUUAAACCUCAUUGAAUUCCCCCCUCACAGUUCUGCUGUCCAGACCUGGUCAAUACUGCUGGGCCUUCCAGCAGCAGUGGCACUCAGAACCCCCUGCCAGAACGGGCUCCCAGCUCCAACCCAGACCCUCCGCCUAAGGUGGUUAUGCUAGUGGAUGAUUUCUACUAUGGCCACUUCGCGGGCCAACAGUCCCUGGUCGACAGCCAGCCCACCAAGCUGAACUACUCCUUCAAAUGUUUCAUCUGCC